UGGUGGGUAGUUUGACUGGGGCGGUCUCCUCCUAAAGAGUAACGGAGGAGCACGAAGGUCAGCUAAUCCUGGUCGGACAUCAGGAGGUUAGUGCAAUGGCAUAAGCUGGCUUGACUGCGAGCGUGACGGCGCGAGCAGGUGCGAAAGCAGGUCAUAGUGAUCCGGUGGUUCUGAAUGGAAGGGCCAUCGCUCAACGGAUAAAAGGUACUCCGGGGAUAACAGGCUGAUACCGCCCAAGAGUUCAUAUCGACGGCGGUGUUUGGCACCUCGAUGUCGGCUCAUCACAUCCUGGGGCUGAAGUAGGUCCCAAGGGUAUGGCUGUUCGCCAUUUAAAGUGGUACGCGAGCUGGGUUUAGAACGUCGUGAGACAGUUCGGUCCCUAUCUGCCGUGGGCG
rnacentral:rRNA from 1 species